AUAUAAAGGAAGUUUUCGGAUGGAAUUCAUAUUGACCGAUUUGGCGGACGGGUGAGUAACGCGUGGGUAACCUGCCUCAUACAGGGGGAUAACAGUUAGAAAUGACUGCUAAUACCGCAUAAGCGCACAGAAUCGCAUGACUGGGUGUGAAAAACUCCGGUGGUAUGAGAUGGACCCGCGUCUGAUUAGCUAGUUGGUGGGGUAAAGGCCUACCAAGGCGACGAUCAGUAGCCGACCUGAGAGGGUGAUCGGCCACAUUGGGACUGAGACACGGCCCAAACUCCUACGGGAGGUAGCAGUGGGGAAUAUUGCACAAUGGGGGAAACCCUGAUGCAGCAACGCCGCGUGAGUGAAGAAGUAUUUUGGUAUGUAAAGCUCUAUCAGCAGGGAAGAAGAUGACGGUACCUGAUUAAGAAGCCCCGGCUAACUACGUGCCAGCAGCCGCGGUAAUACGUAGGGGGCAAGCGUUAUGCGGAUUUACUGGGUGUAAAGGGAGCGUAGACGGCAUAGCAAGUCUGAAGUGAAAGCCCAAGGCUCAACCAUGGGACUGCUUUGGAAACUGUUAAGCUAGAGUGCUGGAGAGGUAAGCGGAAUCCCUAGUGUAGCGGUGAAAUGCGUAGAUAUUAGGAAGAACACCAGUGGCGAAGGCGGCUUACUGGACAGUAACUGACGUCGAGGCUCGAAAGCGUGGGGAGCAAACAGGAUUAGAUACCCUGGUAGUCCACGCCGUANACGAUGAAUGCUAGGUGUUGGGGAGCAAAGCUNCUCGGUGCCGCCG
rnacentral:rRNA from 1 species